rnacentral:rRNA from 1 species
UACGGAGGGUGCAAGCGUUAUCCGGAUUCACUGGGUUUAAAGGGUGCGUAGGUGGGUUUGUAAGUCAGUGGUGAAAUCUCCAAGCUUAACUUGGAAACUGCCGUUGGUACUAUAAAUCUUGAAUGUUGUGGAGGUGAGCGGAAUAUGUCAUGUAGCGGUGAAAUGCUUAGAUAUGACAUAGAACACCAAUUGCGAAGGCAGCUCACUACACAAAGAUUGACACUGAGGCACGAAAGCGUGGGGAUCAAACAGG